AGCGAACGCUGGCGGCAGGCUUAACACAUGCAAGUCGAACGGGCGUAGCAAUACGUCAGUGGCAGACGGGUGAGUAACGCGUGGGAACGUACCUUUUGGUUCGGAACAACCCACGGGAAACGUUAGGGCGUAAUAACCGGAUAAGCCCUUACCGGGGAAAGGAUUUAUUCGCCAAAGAAUCGGCCCGCGUCUGAUUAGCUAGUUGGUGAGGUAACGGCUCACCAAGGCGACGAUCAGUAGCUGGUCUGAGAGGANGAU
rnacentral:rRNA from 1 species